rnacentral:rRNA from 1 species
AGAGUUUGAUCAUGGCUCAGGAUGAACGCUGGCGGCGUGCCUAACACAUGCAAGUCGAGCGAUUCUUUUCGGAGAAGAGCGGCGGACGGGUGAGUAACGCGUGGGUAACCUGCCCUGUACACACGGAUAACAUACCGAAAGGUAUGCUAAUACGGGAUAACAUAUUUUGAUGGCAUCAUCGAAAUAUCAAAGCUCCGGCGGUACAGGAUGGACCCGCGUCUGAUUAGCUAGUUGGUGAGGUAAUGGCUCACCAAGGCGACGAUCAGUAGCCGACCUGAGAGGGUGAUCGGCCACAUUGGAACUGAGACACGGUCCAAACUCCUACGGGAGGCAGCAGUGGGGAAUAUUGCACAAUGGGCGAAAGCCUGAUGCAGCAACGCCGCGUGAGCGAUGAAGGCCUUCGGGUCGUAAAGCUCUGUCCUCAAGGAAGAUAAUGACGGUACUUGAGGAGGAAGCCCCGGCUAACUACGUGCCAGCAGCCGCGGUAAUACGUAGGGGGCUAGCGUUAUCCGGAAUUACUGGGCGUAAAGGGUGCGUAGGUGGUUUUUUAAGUCAGAAGUCAAAGGCUACGGCUCAACCGUAGUAAGCUUUUGAAACUGAGAAACUUGAGUGCAGGAGAGGAGAGUAGAAUUCCUAGUGUAGCGGUGAAAUGCGUAGAUAUUAGGAGGAAUACCAGUUGCGAAGGCGGCUCUCUGGACUGUAACUGACACUGAGGCACGAAAGCGUGGGGAGCAAACAGGAUUAGAUACCCUGGUAGUCCACGCCGUAAACGAUGGGCACUAGGUGUGGGACCCCGCCAACGGGUUCUGUGCCGCAGCUAACGCAUUAAGUGCCCCGCCUGGGGAGUACGGCCGCAAGGUUAAAACUCAAAGGAAUUGACGG